UGCCUAAUACAUGCAAGUCGAACGCGUUGGCCCAAUUGAUUGAUGGUGCUUGCACCUGAUUGAUUUUGGUCGCCAACGAGUGGCGGACGGGUGAGUAACACGUAGGUAACCUGCCCAGAAGCGGGGGACAACAUUUGGAAACAGAUGCUAAUACCGCAUAACAGCGUUGUUCGCAUGAACAACGCUUAAAAGAUGGCUUCUCGCUAUCACUUCUGGAUGGACCUGCGGUGCAUUAGCUUGUUGGUGGGGUAACGGCCUACCAAGGCGAUGAUGCAUAGCCGAGUUGAGAGACUGAUCGGCCACAAUGGGACUGAGACACGGCCCAUACUCCUACGGGAGGCAGCAGUAGGGAAUCUUCCACAAUGGGCGCAAGCCUGAUGGAGCAACACCGCGUGAGUGAAGAAGGGUUUCGGCUCGUAAAGCUCUGUUGUUAAAGAAGAACACGUAUGAGGGUAACUGUUCAUACGUUGACGGUAUUUAACCAGAAAGUCACGGCUAACUACGUGCCAGCAGCCGCGGUAAUACGUAGGUGGCAAGCGUUAUCCGGAUUUAUUGGGCGUAAAGAGAGUGCAGGCGGUUUUCUAAGUCUGAUGUGAAAGCCUUCGGCUUAACCGGAGAAGUGCAUCGGAAACUGGAUAACUUGAGUGCAGAAGAGGGUAGUGGAACUCCAUGUGUAGCGGUGGAAUGCGUAGAUAUAUGGAAGAACACCAGUGGCGAAGGCGGCUACCUGGUCUGCAACUGACGCUGAGACUCGAAAGCAUGGGUAGCGAACAGGAUUAGAUACCCUGGUAGUCCAUGCCGUAAACGAUGAGUGCUAGGUGUUGGAGGGUUUCCGCCCUUCAGUGCCGGAGCUAACGCAUUAAGCACUCCGCCUGGGGAGUACGACCGCAAGGUUGAAACUCAAAGGAAUUGACGGGGGCCCGCACAAGCGGUGGAGCAUGUGGUUUAAUUCGAAGCUACGCGAAGAACCUUACCAGGUCUUGACAUCUUGCGCCAACCCUAGAGAUAGGGCGUUUCCUUCGGGAACGCAAUGACAGGUGGUGCAUGGUCGUCGUCAGCUCGUGUCGUGAGAUGUUGGGUUAAGUCCCGCAACGAGCGCAGCCCUUGUUACUAGUUGCCAGCAUUAAGUUGGGCACUCUAGUGAGACUGCCGGUGACAAACCGGAGGAAGGUGGGGACGACGUCAGAUCAUCAUGCCCCUUAUGACCUGGGCUACACACGUGCUACAAUGGACGGUACAACGAGUCGCGAACUCGCGAGGGCAAGCAAAUCUCUUAAAACCGUUCUCAGUUCGGACUGCAGGCUGCAACUCGCCUGCACGAAGUCGGAAUCGCUAGUAAUCGCGGAUCAGCAUGCCGCGGUGAAUACGUUCCCGGGCCUUGUACACACCGCCCGUCACACCAUGAGAGUUUGUAACACCCAAAGUCGGUGGGGUAACCUUUUAGGAGCCAGCCGCCUAAGGUGGGACAGAUGAUUAGGGUGAAGUCGUAACAAGG
rnacentral:rRNA from 1 species